GAUGAACGCUGGCGGCGUGCCUAAUACAUGCAAGUCGAGCGAAUGGAUUAAGAGCUUGCUCUUAUGAAGUUAGCGGCGGACGGGUGAGUAACACGUGGGUAACCUGCCCAUAAGACUGGGAUAACUCCGGGAAACCGGGGCUAAUACCGGAUAAUAUUUUGAACUGCAUGGUUCAAAAUUGAAAGGCGGCUUCGGCUGUCACUUCUGGAUGGACCCGCGUCGCAUUAGCUAGUUGGUGAGGUAACGGCUCACUAAGGCAACGAUGCGUAGCCGACCUGAGAGGGUGAUCGGCCACACUGGGACUGAGACACGGCCCAGACUCCUACGGGAGGCAGCAGUAGGGAAUCUUCCACAAUGGACGAAAGUCUGACGGAGCAACGCCGCGUGAGUGAUGAAGGCUUUCGGGUCGUAAAACUCUGUUGUUAGGGAAGAACAAGUGCUAGUUGAAUAAGCUGGCACCUUGACGGUACCUAACCAGAAAGCCACGGCUAACUACGUGCCAGCCGCCGCAGUAA
rnacentral:rRNA from 1 species